rnacentral:rRNA from 1 species
UACGUAGGGUGCAAGCGUUAAUCGGAAUUACUGGGCGUAAAGCGUGCGCAGGCGGUUUUGUAAGUCUGUCGUGAAAUCCCCGGGCUCAACCUGGGAAUUGCGAUGGAGACUGCAAGGCUGGAGUCUGGCAGAGGGGGGGUAGAAUUCCACGUGUAGCAGUGAAAUGCGUAGAGAUGUGGAGGACACCGAUGGCGAAGGCAGCCCCCUGGGUCAAGACUGACGCUCAUGUCACCGAAAG